rnacentral:rRNA from 1 species
CACGUAGUUAGCCGGAGCUUCUUGGUCAGGUACUGUCAUUUUCUUCCCUGCUGAUAGAGCUUUACAUACCGAAAUACUUCUUCACUCACGCGGCGUCGCUGCAUCAGGGUUUCCCCCAUUGUGCAAUAUCCCCCACUGCUGCCUCCCGUAGGAGUUUGGGCCGUGUCUCAGUCCCAAUGUGGCCGUCCGCCCUCUCAGGCCGGCUACUGAUCGUCGCUUUGGUAGGCCGUUACCCUGCCAACUGGCUAAUCAGACGCGGGUCCAUCAUAUACCACCGGAGUUUUUCACACCGGGGCAUGCGCCCCUGUGCGCUUAUGCGGUAUUAGCACCUAUUUCUAAGUGUUAUCCCCCUGUAUAUGGCAGGUUACCCACGCGUUACUCACCCGUCCGCCACUAGGGCGUGAAAAGUUUGAAGUCUAGUAAACUAUCCCUCUCGCACAUCACGCCCCCGUUCGACUUGCAUGUGUUAAGCACGCCGCCAGCGUUCAUCCUGAGCCAGGAUCAAA